rnacentral:tRNA from 1 species
GGCUAUAUAGCUCAGCUGGUUAGAGCACAGCAUUCAUAAUGCUGGGGUCGGUGGUUCAAGUCCACCUAUAGCCACCA